rnacentral:rRNA from 1 species
CUCGUAGGCGGCUUGUCGCGUCUGCUGUGAAAACUGGAGGCUCAACCUCCAGCCUGCAGUGGGUACGGGCAAGCUAGAGUGCGGUAGGGGAGAUUGGAAUUCCUGGUGUAGCGGUGGAAUGCGCAGAUAUCAGGAGGAACACCGAUGGCGAAGGCAGAUCUCUGGGCCGUUACUGACGCUGAGGAGCGAAAGCAGUGGGGAGCGAACA